rnacentral:rRNA from 1 species
GUGGAUUAGAUACCCUAGUAGUCCACGCCGUAAACUAUGAUUACUCGUUCUCGGCGAUAUACGGUCGGGGACUAAGCGAAAGUGAUGAGUAAUCCACCUGGGGAGUACGAUCGCAAGAUUGAAACUCAAAGGAAUUGACGGGGGCCCGCACAAGCGGUGGAGCAUGUGGUUUAAUUCGAUGAUACGCGAGGAACCUUACCAGGACUUGAACGCAUUUUGACAGAUCAGGAAACUGGUCGUUCUUCGGACAAUUUGCGAGGUGCUGCAUGGUCGUCGACAACU